rnacentral:rRNA from 1 species
GAGACAGCAGCAGCCACGGUAAUACGUAGGUGGCAAGCGUUGUCCGGAAUUAUUGGGCGUAAAGGGCUCGCAGGCGGUUUCUUAAGUCUGAUGUGAAAGCCCCCGGCUCAACCGGGGAGGGUCAUUGGAAACUGGGAAACUUGAGUGCAGAAGAGGAGAGUGGAAUUCCACGUGUAGCGGUGAAAUGCGUAGAGAUGUGGAGGAACACCAGUGGCGAAGGCGACUCUCUGGUCUGUAACUGACGCUGAGGAGCGAAAGCGUGGGGAGCGAACAGGAUUAGAUACCCCCGUAGUCCCUGUCUCUUAUAC